rfam:Felis catus isolate Cinnamon breed Abyssinian chromosome B2, whole genome shotgun sequence.
GCCUGGGUGGCUCAGUUGGUUGAGCAUCUGAAUUUGGCUCAGGUCAUGAUCUCACGGCUCGUGAGUUCGAGCCCCGCAUCGGGCU